rnacentral:tRNA from 1 species
GAGGGUAUAGCUCAGUGGUAGAGUGUGUGCUUCGCACGCACAGUCUUAGGUUCAAGCCCCAGUACCUCCA